CUGCCCAUGGAUGGGAGCCACUGGUUCACCAUGUGGUCGGUGGUGGAGAAACUCAUUCUCAGGGGGCAUGAGGUGGUUGUAGUCAGGCCAGAGGUGAGUUGGCAACUGGGAAGAUCACUGAAUUGCACAGUGAAGACUUCUUCAACCUUAUACACCCUGGAGGAUCUGGACCAGGAGUUCAUGGCUUUUGCCAAUGCUCAAUGGGAAGCAGAAGUACGACGCUUAUUUUCUCUAUUAAUGAGUUCAUCCAAAUGUUUAGAAUUUAAUUUUUCACAUUGCAGGAGUUUGUUUAAUGACUGAAAAUUAGUAGAAUACUUAAAGGAGAGUUCUUUUGAUGCGGUGUUUCUGGAUCCUUUAGAUAUGUGUGGCUUAAUUGUUGCCAAAUAUUUCUCCCUCCUCUCGGUGGUCUUCGCCAGAGGAAUACUUUGACAUUACCUUGAAGAAGGUGCACAGUGCCCUGCUUCUCUUUCCUACAGUCCUAGAUAUGUCUCAGGGUUUUCGGAUGCUGUGACUUUUAAGGAGAGAGUAAGGAACCACAUCUUCUACUUAGAGGAGCAUUUAUUUUGCCCAUAUUUUUUCAAAAAUGCCUUAAACAUAGCCUCUGAAAUUCUCCAAACACCUGUCAUGGCAUAUGAUCUCUACAGCCACACAUCAAUUUGGUUGCUGCGAAUGGACUUUGUUUUGGAGUAUCCCAAACCUGUGAUGCCCAAUAUGAUCUUCAUUGGUGGUAUCAACUGCAAUCAGGGAAAGCCAGUGCCUAUG
rnacentral:lncRNA from 1 species